GUGCUUGCUUCAGCAGCACAUAUACGAAAAUUGGAACGAUACAGAGAAGAUUAGCAUGGACCCUGCGCAAGGAUGACAUGCAAAUUCGUGAAGCAUUCCAUAUUUUG
rnacentral:snRNA from 1 species